rnacentral:lncRNA from 1 species
CACCUUUACCUGCUGGACCAUCUCACUGGCCUGACACUUAUUUGUCUGAGACGAAGUUUCUGAUUUCCCAGACCGGUGGCAGAGUGAGGUGAACGCCUGCUGGGAGGCCUACAAAGGAUGGACUAGAGGAAGCAGCAGCCUCCAGGGAGCUGAGGCAGCUCAAAUGCUCAAGACAUCUAUGCUGUCACCUUUACCUGUCUUUCUCCACUUGAACUCUGUUUGUGAAGACAGGUUAUUAUGUAACCUUGGCUGCUCUGGAACUUGAUCUGUAGACCAGGUUGGCCUGGAACUCAGAGAGCCACCUGCCUCUGCCCCCCAGUGCUG